ensembl:snoRNA SNORD31 Small nucleolar RNA SNORD31
AGGAGAGAUGAUGACUUCUGUUACCGCCCCAGUCUGAGAAGUCAUGACUGAUCGGUAUUUCUUCUG